AAAGGUAAAAUUAAAGAUUUUAAAAGUUAACUGUUAAAAAAAUUGAAGCUAAAAAAAUUUAGAUUUAAACUAGGAUUAGAUACCCUAUUAUACUAAAAAUAGAUUUUAGAAAGUUGAUUAAUAUUAGAUAUAUGCUUAAAAUUUGAAGAAUUUGGCGGUAGUUUAGUCUUGUUAGAGGAACCUGUUUUAUUCAAUCGAUAAACCGCGUAAAAUCUUGCUUUAACUUAUAUACCGUCAUUAACAGAUAAUUUUAUGAGAAUUAAUUAUUAAAGUUUAUAAAGAUAUAAAUAAAAUUAGAUCAAGGUGUAGUCUAUAAAAAAGCUAAAAUGGGUUACAAUAAAAUUUGUUUAAAACGUAUUUAUAGUAAUGAAGGAGGAUUUAAUUGUAUUGUAAAUUAAUACGUUAUAAUGAUAUAUAGCACUAAAUUAUGUACAUAUUGCCCGUCGCUUUC
rnacentral:rRNA from 1 species